GGCGGCCGUAGCGCGGUGGUCCCACCUGACCCCAUGCCGAACUCAGAAGUGAAACGCCGUAGCGCCGAUGGUAGUGUGGGGUCUCCCCAUGCGAGAGUAGGGAACUGCCAGAC
rnacentral:rRNA from 12 species